CCUACGGGUGGCAGCAGUGGGGAAUAUUGGGCAAUGGGCGAAAGCCUGACCCAGCAACGCCGCGUGAAGGAAGAAGGCUUUCGGGUUGUAAACUUCUUUUGACAGGGAAGAGCAGAAGACGGUACCUGUCGAAUAAGCCACGGCUAACUACGUGCCAGCAGCCGCGGUAAUACGUAGGUGGCAAGCGUUGUCCGGAUUUACUGGGUGUAAAGGGCGUGUAGCCGGGCUGACAAGUCAGAUGUGAAAUCCGGGGGCUCAACCCCCGAACUGCAUUUGAAACUGUUGGUCUUGAGUAUCGGAGAGGCAGGCGGAAUUCCUAGUGUAGCGGUGAAAUGCGUAGAUAUAUGGAAGAACACCAGUGGCGAAAGCGGCUCUCUGGUCUGUAACUGACGCUGAGGUUCGAAAGCGUGGGUAGCAAACAGGAUUAGAUACCCGGGUAGUC
rnacentral:rRNA from 1 species